rnacentral:rRNA from 1 species
ACACUCCUACGGGAGGCAGCAGUGGGGAAUAUUGGACAAUGGGCGCAAGCCUGAUCCAGCCAUGCCGCGUGAGUGAUGAAGGCCCUAGGGUUGUAAAGCUCUUUCACCGGUGAAGAUAAUGACGGUAACCGGAGAAGAAGCCCCGGCUAACUUCGUGCCAGCAGCCGCGGUAAUACGAAGGGGGCUAGCGUUGUUCGGAUUUACUGGGCGUAAAGCGCACGUAGGCGGACUAUUAAGUCAGGGGUGAAAUCCCGGGGCUCAACCCCGGAACUGCCUUUGAUACUGGUAGUCUUGAGUUCGAGAGAGGUGGGUGGAAUUCCGAGUGCAGAGGUGAAAUUCGUAGAUAUUCGGAGGAACACCAGUGGCGAAGGCGGCUCACUGGCUCGAUACUGACGCUGAGGUGCGAAAGCGUGGGGAGCAAACAGGAUUAGAAACCCUGGUAGUCCCA